rnacentral:rRNA from 1 species
CGCACGGGUGAGUAACACGUAUGCAACCUGCCUGCCACAGCCGGAUAAUCGGGAGAAAUUCCGUCUAAUACGGCAUAAUGCAUCGACGGGACAUCCUGUUGGUGCCAAAGGUUAAUUCCGGUGGCGGAUGGGCAUGCGUCGCAUUAGUUAGUUGGCGGUGUAACGGACCACCAAGACGACGAUGCGUAGGGGUUCUGAGAGGAAGGUCCCCCACAUUGGAACUGAGACACGGUCCAAACUCCUACGGAAGGCAGCAG